UCUCUGUGUGUUGUCCCUGGGUGGAUUCCCUUUCCCGGUCCUAACACUUGGMCCCCACGUGAACGCUUAGCUCCCGGCUGCUGCGACGCCCCGUGGGAACGGGUGCCGGAUCUGAGGCAGCGCCUGCUGCAAUCUGCUCUUAAAAUCAUAAAGGUGUUGGUGCAAGUGGCGUCGGUUAAAGUACUUGACGGUCGGACAACACGAACUCUCCGGCGAAACGUCGUCCGGAAGGCUUUGGAAAGGGAAAAAAGCAGCUCGACUUGUACAAGAAUCCUUUCCCCGUUGAUGCGUCGAGAAGAUGGCGAGCGAGAGG